CCUCCCUCUUUCUUCGUGCUUAACACAUGCAAGUCUAACGGAAAGGCCCUGCUUUUGUGGGGUGCUCGAGUGGCGAACGGGUGAGUAACACGUGAGUAACCUGCCCUUGACUUUGGGAUAACUUCAGGAAACUGGGGCUAAUACCGGAUAGGAGCUCCUGCUGCAUGGUGGGGGUUGGAAAGUUUCGGCGGUUGGGGAUGGACUCGCGGCUUAUCAGCUUGUUGGUGGGGUAGUGGCUUACCAAGGCUUUGACGGGUAGCCGGCCUGAGAGGGUGACCGGCCACAUUGGGACUGAGAUACGGCCCAGACUCCUACGGGAGGCAGCAGUGGGGAAUAUUGCACAAUGGGCGGAAGCCUGAUGCAGCAACGCCGCGUGCGGGAUGACGGCCUUCGGGUUGUAAACCGCUUUCGCCUGUGACGAAGCGUGAGUGACGGUAAUGGGUAAAGAAGCACCGGCUAACUACGUG
rnacentral:rRNA from 1 species